AUUGAACGCUGGCGGCAGGCCUAACACAUGCAAGUCGAGCGGAUGAAGGGAGCUUGCUCCUGGAUUCAGCGGCGGACGGGUGAGUAAUGCCUAGGAAUCUGCCUGGUAGUGGGGGAUAACGUCCGGAAACGGGCGCUAAUACCGCAUACGUCCUGAGGGAGAAAGUGGGGGAUCUUCGGACCUCAUGCUAUCAGAUGAGCCUAGGUCGGAUUAGCUAGUUGGUGGGGUAAAGGCCUACCAAGGCGACGAUCCGUAACUGGUCUGAGAGGAUGAUCAGUCACACUGGAACUGAGACACGGUCCAGACUCCUACGGGAGGCAGCAGUGGGGAAUAUUGGACAAUGGGCGAAAGCCUGAUCCAGCCAUGCCGCGUGUGUGAAGAAGGUCUUCGGAUUGUAAAGCACUUUAAGUUGGGAGGAAGGGCAGUAAGUUAAUACCUUGCUGUUUUGACGUUACCAACAGAAUAAGCACCGGCUAGCUUCGUG
rnacentral:rRNA from 1 species